rnacentral:rRNA from 1 species
AUUGAACGCUGGCGGCAGGCCUAACACAUGCAAGUCGGACGGUAGCACAGAGGAGCUUGCUCUUCGGGUGACGAGUGGCGGACGGGUGAGUAAUGUCUGGGGAUCUGCCCGAUAGAGGGGGAUAACCACUGGAAACGGUGGCUAAUACCGCAUAACGUCGCAAGACCAAAGAGGGGGACCUUCGGGCCUUUCACUAUCGGAUGAACCCAGAUGGGAUUAGCUAGUAGGCGGGGUAACGGCCCACCUAGGCGACGAUCCCUAGCUGGUCUGAGAGGAUGACAAGCCACACUGGAACUGAGACACGGUCCAGACUCCUACGGGAGGCAGCAGUGGGGAAUAUUGCACAAUGGGCGCAAGCCUGAUGCAGCCAUGCCGCGUGUAUGAAGAAGGCCUUCGGGUUGUAAAGUACUUUCAGCGGGGAGGAAGGCGAUGUGGUUAAUAACCGCGUCGAUUGACGUUACCCGCAGAAGAAGCACCGGCUAACUCCGCGCCAGCCGCCGCGGUAA